AUGAAGGAUAUACGGGGCUUCUUAGAGCAGAGUCAGAGCUGUGGGCCCAGUUAGGCUGCUGGGUGGCACCGUCUAGAGGAGCUCUACCCAAAGAAGUUAUGGCAUCAACUGACACUUCAGGUCCUUGAUUUUGUACAGGACCCAUGCUUUGCCUAGGGAGAUGGUCUCAUUAAGCUUUAUGAAAUCUUCAUCAGUGAAUUUGAACUCAGGGUGAACGCUUUGUCACUGGUAGAUGGAAUUCUGCAUGUGGUUAGACAGAUGAUUGAUCCCAGUGUAGCUCUUACUUUUCUGGAAAAGACUCGUGAGAAGGUGAAAAGUAGUGAUGAGGCAGUGAUCUUGUGUAAAACAACAAUCAGAGCUCCAAACUUAAACAUUAUGGAUCUACAAGUUACAAAGGAGAUAAUCGAAGACUUUGAAGAGAUGCUCCUCCACCUCCCUGGUGUGACAUCAGUUCGCUGUUGUUUCUAUGAUCUCACCAGCAAAUACUAUCAAACAAUCGUAACCAUGCUUCCUAUGACAAAGAUGCCCUGUGAUUUCUGGGCUGUUAACAUCAAGGAUCUACCAGCUCAAGAAUCCUGUGCUGGAGUCAUUGCAAGGCACUGACCGGCAGUGGCUGAUUGUCACCCUCUAGGCCUUCAGUAGUGCUGAUGUGGACAGGUUCCAGACUCUGAAGACUGCCUGGGGCCACCAGCCUAACUUAGCUGCCAAUGAAACCCAGCUUCUACAGAAGAUUCCGUUGUUGUGUUUGAUGGAGAUGGCUCUCACAACACCUGCCAACCACAGACAGCUCGCUUUUGAAGAAAUUGCCAGAAGUGCUAAAAUUACCAUGAACGAGGUAGAGCUGCUGGUGACGAAAGCACUCGCUGUGCAGCUGGUGAGAGGCAGCAUAGAGGAGGUCGACAAGCGAGUCCACAUGAUCUGGGUGCAGCACCGCAUGCUAGAUCUACAGCAGAUCAAGGGGAUGAAGGACCGCCCGGGGUUCUGGUGCACAGAUGUGAGGAGCAUGGAGAUGCUGGUGGAGCACCAGGCCCAUUACACCCCCACCUAG